GACGAACCGUCCAACCGUUAUUCGGAUUUACUGGGCUUAAAGGGUGCGUAGGCGGCGCGGAAAGUUGGGUGUGAAAUCCCUCGGCUCAACCGAGGAACUGCGCCCAAAACUACCGUGCUCGAGGGAGAUAGAGGUGAGCGGAACUUAGGGUGGAGCGGUGAAAUGCGUUGAUAUCCUAAGGAACACCCGUGGCGAAAGCGGCUCACUGGGUCUCUUCUGACGCUGAGGCACGAAAGCUAGGGUAGCGAACGGG
rnacentral:rRNA from 1 species